AACGAACGCUUGCGGCGCGCCUAAUACAUGCAAGUCGAGCGAGAGAGUACUUCGGUACGAGUACAGCGGCGGACGGGUGAGGAACACGUAGAUAAUCUGCCUUAAAGAGGGGGAUAACUAAUCGAAAGAUUAGCUAAUACCGCAUAAGACCACAGGAGCUUCGGCUCUAGGGGUUAAAGGAGCAAUCCACUUUAAGAUGAGUCUGCGUCCGAUUAGCUAGUUGGUAGGGUAAUGGCCUACCAAGGCAACGAUCGGUAACUGGUCUGAGAGGAUGGCCAGUCACACUGGAACUGAGACACGGUCCAGACUCCUACGGGAGGCAGCAGUAGGGAAUAUUGCACAAUGGAGGAAACUCUGAUGCAGCGACGCCGCGUGAGUGAUGAAGGCCUUCGGGUUGUAAAACUCUGUGAUAAGGGAAGAUGAUGACGGUACCUUAUCAGAAAAGACCGGCUAACUUCGUGCCAGCCGCCGCCGUAAUAC
rnacentral:rRNA from 1 species